GAUGAACGCUGGCGGCGUGCCUAAUACAUGCAAGUAGAACGCUGAAGGAAGGAGCUUGCUCUUUCCGGAUGAGUUGCGAACGGGUGAGUAACGCGUAGGUAACCUGCCUGGUAGCGGGGGAUAACUAUUGGAAACGAUAGCUAAUACCGCAUAACAGUAGAUAUUGCAUGAUAUCUGCUUGAAAGGGGCAAUUGCUCCACUACCAGAUGGACCUGCGUUGUAUUAGCUAGUUGGUGAGGUAACGGCUCAACAAGGCGACGAUACAUAGCCGACCUGAGAGGGUGAUCGGCCCCACUGGGACUGAGAACCGGCCCAGACUGCUACGGGAGGCAGCAGUAGGGAAUCUUCGGAAAUGGACGGAAGUCUGACCGAGCAACGCCGCGUGAGUGAAGAAGGUUUUCGGAUCGUAAAGCUCUGUUGUAAGGGAAGAACGAGUGUGAGAGUGGAAAGUUCACACUGUGACGGUAUCUUACCAGAAAGGGACGGCUAACUACGUG
rnacentral:rRNA from 1 species